rnacentral:rRNA from 1 species
CAGUCGCCGCGGUAAUACGUAGGGUGCAAGCGUUGUCCGGAAUUAUUGGGCGUAAAGAGCUCGUAGGCGGUUUGUCGCGUCUGCUGUGAAAUCCCGAGGCUCAACCUCGGGCUUGCAGUGGGUACGGGCAGACUAGAGUGCGGUAGGGGAGAUUGGAAUUCCUGGUGUAGCGGUGGAAUGCGCAGAUAUCAGGAGGAACACCGAUGGCGAAGGCAGAUCUCUGGGCCGUAACUGACGCUGAGGAGCGAAAGCGUGGGGAGCGAACAGGAUUAGAUACCCCUGUAGUCCCUGUCUCUUAUAC